rnacentral:lncRNA from 10 species
GGUCGGUAACAUUUAUUGCGCAACUCUGAGGCCGGGGCGGACCCAGCUGGGGAGAUUUACUGUGGGAACGUCUGGCCCGGCCCCUUCCUCCCCUCCGGGCGCCGCUGGCCGCCUCCGUUCCCGGUCCGGGCCGCGUUCAGCCCCUGAAGGGGCCCCCCCCAUAGGUGUACUCCUAUAGGUGGGAGUCCCGGAAGUCAUCAGGGGUCGGCCCCAUCGGAGGAGCAGCAGGUUGGCGGACACCCAGAGGGGAGAAACGUGUAUAUGUACAUAUGUGUAUAUGUAUAUAUGUGUAUAUAUACAUAUGUGCAUAUAUACAUAUGUGUAUAUAUGUGUAUAUGUGUAUAUAUGUAUAUGUGUAUAUGUACAUAUGUGUAUAUAUAUGUAUAUAUACAUAUAUGUGUGUGUAUAUAUGUAUAUAUGUGUGUAUCAACAUUGGGCCUUAGGGAUAGGCAUUUACAGCCUUUUGACUCAGUUUCCCGGUAGUGCUCCGCUGGUGGGGAUGGGAGGACAGAGGUGGUAUUUGGUGGAGAAGGCGCUUACCUGCCCUGGGCUGAGCUUCCUGUACCCCGCAGAUCAUCACUUCUACGAUGAGUCCAAGCCUUUCACCUGCCUGGACGGUUCGGCCACCAUCCCAUUUGAUCAGGUCAACGAUGACUAUUGCGACUGCAAAGAUGGCUCUGACGAGCCAGGUGAGCCUUUUCUCUGUUCAUCCAUCAGAUGUUUAUUGAACACUGCUC